UCUUAAAAUCAAUUCUAAAACUAACUGGUAACCAAUGAUGAGAAGCCAAACCAGGUCUGAUAUGAUCUUUUCCUCUAGUGCUUGUUCAAAGCUGAGCGGCUGUGUUUUGUACCAGCUGAAGGUGUAAGAUGUUUUUUUUGGCUCAAACCAGAAUACAAUGAAUUACAAUAGUCUAACCGAGAAGAAAUAAAAGCAUGAAUGACCUUCUCGAGCUCAGGUCAAGAGAGAAAACAACUGAUCUUUGAGAUGCUCCUUAAUUGAUAAAAACAUGAUCAAACAACAUUUGGAAUUUGCUUUUCAAGUGUAAGUUCACUGUCAAAUAUCACACCCAGGUUUCUGGCUGCAGGUUUGACAUUUGAAGACAGGGAUCCAAGGUGUUUCUGUAUGAUAGGGAUGGACUUUGGGGGACCGAAGAGAAUUAUUUCAGAUUUAUUUUCAUUUAGCUGGUUUUUAAUGGGACAUAGAUUUGUGUGUCAUCUGCAUCUGUCAACAAUGGUACUGGAUUUUGUGAUCUGUCCCAGUGGCAGCAUGUAUAUACAGAAUAACAAGGGGCCAAGGAUGGACCCUUGGGGAACACCACAGGUCAGAGGGGCCACAGAAGAGGAGGCAUUACCCAUGACCACUGAGAAACUCCUGUUUGAUAAAUAGGAUAGGAACCUUUUUAGAGCAGUGUCCCUGAUGCCAAUUCCCUGUUCAAGGCAGUCCAGUAGGAUGGAGUGAUCCACAGUGUCAAAUGCCGAGCUCAAAUCAAGAAGAAUUAAAUUUGAACAAUCACCAGCAUCAGCUGUGAGUAAAAGGUUCUUUGUCACUUUAAUAAGAGCAGAUUUGGUGCUAUGACGUGAACGGAAACCUGAUUUGUCAAAGAUAUCACAAGUAUCCAUCAAAGAAGUCAACUCUACGUAAACAGUCUUCUCUAAAACUUUUGAUAAAAAGGCAAGAGGGAACACAGCCAGUGGACAGAGCACUAUUUACAAUCAAUAAAAUAGUGGGCCCAACACUGUUAAAAACCUCUUAAAGAAAUCUGGCAGGCAUAGAAUCUGAAGGAUUCGAUGAGGGCUUUAAUUUGUCCAUUGUGUCCUUUUAGAUUGCACAGUGAAAUGACCUGAAAGUCAUUUUGCAGGUUUGCAGCGUGGCAAAAAAGGGGCACUGGUGACAAGACCAAUCCCGAGUUUUAUUUCAUUGAUUUUGGUUGUAAAGAAGGAAAUAAAAAUUGGUCAUUGGGGUGGCUUUAGUUAGUCGGAUAGGAGGAGGGUUAAUCACGGAUUCAGUGGUUUUGAAAAGAAUUCUGGGGUUAUGACGGUUUGUUGUAGAGAAAUAGGAGGACCUGGCUUCAUUUACUGAUUUCUGAUAAAUAGACAUUAGUUAUUUUAAACUUUGAUAUGAAACAUUAAGAUGGUCCAUUUACGCUCUGCUUGUCUGCAUUUCCUCUUUAUUUAUCCAUGGCGUGCUGUGAGAUGCUUUGACUUUCUGGAUUUUUACAGGUGCAAUGGAGCCAAGUACAGCUUUACAAGUGGCAUUGAAGUUGUUUAGUAAUUCUUCUGUAGACAUAUUGUUAUUGCUAUGUAUAGAUGUAGUGGUAAAGGCCUAAUGGAAUCUGUCAGCAGAAUAAGUAUUGAGAACACGAGAAGAGACAUAGGUUGCCUCUGUGGGAGCAGGGACUUAAAAAUACAGAGAGCAACACUAUCUAGACUAGAACCAGAGGACAGAACAAUGUCCAGGGUGUGUCCCUUUAGGUGGGUGGGACCCUCACCUGAAUAAGAUUAAAGGAAUUCACAAUGUCCAUAUAAACUCCAUAGUAAAAGAGGAACCAGAGGGGCAGCAAACAUGUAUGUUAAAAUCACCUGAAAUCAAGACUGUCAAAAUGAGGCAUAAUCAAAGCUGAAAGAUCAGAGAAUUCCUGAAUAAAACCAGAGGUAGAUUUUGGGGGUCUGUAGAUUAAAACACAAAGUAGCAGGUUCUUGCCAUUAAUCUUAAAACCAAGUGAUUCAAAUGAGAAGUUUCCAAAUGAGUACAGGGAAAAAUUUACAAUUCUUUCUGUGAAUCACUACCACUCCCAGUCCACCUCCCCGACCUGAAAGCCUAGGCUGCUGAAAAUAAUUAAAACCUGGAGGACAAGCUUCCUUCAGCGCAACACAGUCACCUGGACUUAACCACACCUCAGUAAGCAGAAGGAAAUCGAACUGCUUGGAAACAAUGAAAUCAUUGCAGAAAAAUGAUUUAUUUGCCAGUGAUCUAACAUUCAAUAGCCCAAACACUACAGGGAUGUGAGAUGGAGAUGAACUAGGACCAGCCAAGGAGGCAUGAGGAAUUUGUCAGUAUGAUUCAUCAUCCAGGGACCACGAAUGUCUGCACAAAAUUUCAUGACAAUCCAUCCAUUCUGUCUGGGCCAAAGUGGUGGACCGAUCAAUCGAACAAGGAGACACCUAGAGCAAUGCCUCUAGCAAGGCUAAAAAGGCCAAAGUGAUUUCCUUGGCUGGGCAUUGUAGUUUUUAGCAAACAUCACUCAAAAUAAAUAGUGUAUUUGUUGGACUGUUUAGUGGCGAAUUAAUACACAUUUGACAGUGUCCAUGUUCAUCAUAAUGAAGGAACAUGUCACCUAGUUCAACAGUGUGACUAACUGUGUUUUGGACAACAAUGGAGCUCUGUGGCACAGAGGAAUAAGAUAUAUCAGGUUUUGGUUACACAGACAAUACUUGUUAGUGGGAUCAAUUAAUUGUUGGUUUCGGACAAGUUAUGGGUUUUGUUAACAAUAAAAAUAAAAUAUGGAGUAUGACCAGACUGAUCCUUUAAGCCAAGAAAGCCAAUGACAAACCUGACAGACUUUGUCUAACUUGUCUAGCUAACCAGCUUGCUUGCCUCUAAUUUGAAAAUAUGACUUUAUUUCUGGAGUCAAUUACAGGCCAAUAUAACUGAAAGUGAGGGGCAAUUUUGGAUAAUCCUGCUGUACUCCCUCCCAGCUGCUUUAAAAGAAAACCCUCUUAAUUUAGCAGCAGAAGUUUUGCAGGCUGGUGUAGCUCUGUUCAGCCUCUACAGCUGUCACCGCAGGGAUCUAUUUGAUUUCUAUGAGCUCCGCCUCUCAGCAGCUUCCAGCUACACUAAUGACAUGACUUAGUGUCAUUGGCGAAGUAUUUGAUAGCCGAGGAUGAGACACUUAGAGUGGGGAAACUCCGAGCUUCAUUUAGCCAACAGUGUGCUCACUACAACAGUUGGUGUGGUUUUCAACACCCAGCUUAUAGACUCUGACACUUUUCAAAAAGCCUAAAACAGAGUGAUUGACAUGUGAAUGAAAAUAUACAACAGUGUCUUUAUUCUGUAAUUUCUCUAGCUAGAGAAAACAGAAAUGAUUAGUCCUUUUUUCACGCUGUUGAACAUUGUAAAGAAUGAUUCACACACACAAAAAAACCCACACAACGUCAGAAAUAUAUUACAAAUUGCUUUUCUAAAUUCUGUGCAUCAAAAAGACAUUUCUGCUUCAAAUCAGACCGGCAGCCAAUUUGGCCAUGAGGCUGGAAAGAAAAUAGAUGUUGGAAAUUGCACCCCAGCUGCUAUUUGUAAUAAUGCAUUUUUGAAAUCCAAGAGCAGAAAAUCGAGUCAGGAUUGUAGUGUGAGGGGGUGUUUGUAAUUGAUAUAAUGGAGCUAGGGGAAGAGCUUUGAAAUGAGAGCUUUAGUAAGGAGAGCAGAGAAAAGCCUUUGUCUAUAUGAGCAGAGGCAACACAAAGCACCACUGAUCUGAGUUACAGCAUUAUUUUGUAAGGAUUUAAGAGCCUAGAUUCUGUGACAAUAUUGGCCCCCGCUCCAUCAAAGAGUGCCCUCUAACUCAGAACAAACAGGCUCUGUGUUGUUCAGCAUCCGUGGUGGUUCACUUUUGGACAGCAUUAAUGAAUGUCUCCUUUUAUCAGAACAUCUUGGGAUUACCACCUUACCACCAACAACUAAAUCCUUCAGAUGAAGAGCCAUAUAUUAUACAGUCAGUGUGCUCUGUUCCCAGCUGAGUGAUGCUCUCAGAUCUCAAAAUGCUGUGUCAUACAACUAUAACUACAACUCGUAGUUCUCGCCGACCGAAGUUGCCGUGGGUGUUUUCUACUCGCUGGUUUAAAGGACAGUAAUGAGCCCAUUACGACUUAGCGCACCAGAAGACGCUGCACUUGAAAACUUUAUUGGAAGUGUUUUCAAAAAAUAUUUUCAUUUUGACAAGAGAGAAGGCUUCAGGGAUAAGGACUAACUGGUUAGUUUGGUAAAUGUGCGUCUGGUUAACUUCGCCACCUCCGAUAAAGAGCACAAAAGAGAUAUGAGCAAAAGAGAUGUGAACAACAAGUGGAUGAGACAGUCAAACGGGACUAGGCCACAUUAAAGCUAUGACCUAUGAUCAGGGGUCACAGGUUGAUACUGCUUCAUUAUUAGGGGUCAUAAGCCAACAAGGUUGCGAAGCACUGCAGGGGUUACAGGCCCAGACUGACUGGCCUGGCUAGCCGAUUGGCCCGGAGUAACGAGCAAAGGACAGUCAGUGUUACAUAAAAAUAUACAUGCUAGCAGAGUAUCACACCUCAGCACGUAUCACAACUACCGUUCCAGAGUUGAUUCUAUGUUUUAAAAAACGAAUAAAUGGCAUCAACACUUAGUCAUGCUAUAUAGGGAAGCAAGAGAUGCAUAUGGAAAUAAUGUUGAAAAUAACGACUUGUAUACUCUUUUCUGUCAGGUGGAAGUACCAAGUUUAACUUGUAAUUUAGUAAACUAAUUUAAUGGGAAAACAGCAAGUAGUGCCACCAGGCCCUACUAGAAAAAAACAAACAUCUUAAAUGCACUUACGAAUGAAUUGAUUAGCUUAUUGAAAUUAAGUGUAGGGAUGGAGGGAUCAAAGAAAGUCUGGAGAGAUAUUAAAAAAAGGGUCACUCAUGAGGGGAUCAAACGACGGUCGAUUGGGGAUUGAGAUCAGACGAAAGUCAAGUCGAGGAACCGAGGGGGUUGACGCUCAGGGUGGGUGCAACAUUUUGCUGAUUAGGCAUGCCAUGGCGACAUCUUUCCCCCCCUGAGGUUCUGUACUGAGAGAGAGGGAAGAAAAAGGGAAAAUGGUUAAAGAGGGAAUGAUGUGGGAAGACAAUCAGGAGAAAAAUGGGGUUAGUUAUAUACUGCUGGUUGGGACAGGAAAUUAAACAUGAUUCUUAGUUUUUGUUCCUGAACUUAGUUUAUAAUCAUUUUCUUUGUAUUUUUCUUGUGUAGUUUUAACAGCUAAGACACAGAAUCCAGUCUCUAAGAAUAAUGAGGUAUUGACACCGCCAUGUUUUAUUUCCUCAGUUAGACAGUGCUUUAGAUAACAAACACCUCAGAGCUGCCAUCUAGUCUAACUUAAAGCCCCAAAUCUGUAAUUGAAGUACGGUGCCACCUGUGACACAGUCUCCUCACUCCUGGCUUUGUUUGGGUAUCAGUCUGUUAGUCUAAAGACAUUUUUUAAGGCUCAAAUUGAUCACUUGAGCUUUGAGCUUUGAGCAAACAACAGCAGCAUAAAACCGUGUUAUCCUCAGCACUGGCCAUAGCACAAAAAUCUGGGCCCUGUACAUAUGCAGCCUCUGUGGGCCCCCCUCCCUUUUUAAUAAAUCCAUUAUCACACCUGUACAAAUAAUUGAAUUAACAAGUAAACACAUGCGUCUGUAGCGGUAAUUUUUCUCAAUAUACUGUAAUUACUGUGGGAAGCUUUCAUUAUAAGGUUUUACAACAUUAUACAACAGUAUUUCUGUCACAGUUUUUAGGUCUACAUUAUAUACAUACAAAGCCAUCUUACUCUACACUGAGAGGAUUACUGUAUUACUAUAUUUCAUACUACAAGAAAACUGAAUAUGAAGUGCUACCCCUGUCUGUUGCAACAUAAAAGUAGCAUAAUAAAACUUUAGAAACCUAAAGGCCCAGUCCAUAUA